AUACGUAGGUGGCAAGCGUUGUCCGGAAUUAUUGGGCGUAAAGCGCGCGCAGGCGGUUUCUUAAGUCUGAUGUGAAAGCCCCCGGCUCAACCGGGGAGGGUCAUUGGAAACUGGGAAACUUGAGUGCAGAAGAGGAGAGUGGAAUUCCACGUGUAGCGGUGAAAUGCGUAGAGAUGUGGAGGAACACCAGUGGCGAAGGCGACUCUCUGGUCUGUAACUGACGCUGAGGCGCGAAAGCGUGGGGAGCGAACAGGAUUAGAUACCCUGGUAGUCCACGCCGUAAACGAUGAGUGCUAAGUGUUAGAGGGUUUCCGCCCUUUAGUGCUGCAGCUAACGCAUUAAGCACUCCGCCUGGGGAGUACGGUCGCAAGACUGAA
rnacentral:rRNA from 1 species